AUUUAAGAGCUGGCUACCAGUGGGGAAGGACCUCUUUUGGAGAUCAUCUCUCUUGGUGUCUUCUGGUGAGCUCAGCUGAAGGGAUAUAUGAUUCAGCCUUUCCAUCUGAUCUCUGCCAUGGCAUGUGCACAGGGAAACUUCUUCCUGGAAACAGCUCAGCAUGGGAAGUAUUUUGAGCAUGGGAAAGCGUAUGGACAUGACUUAUAACUUGUAUUGACUUAUGACAUGCAAAUACAUGGUUCAACUGAACACGUUUGCAAGGAUCCAUUCAGGAACUGGAACUGAUGUGAUGUGAAAUGGUAUAAAUGGAAAAUCACAACUGUACUGUUUUACAUCUCCUUGCUGGCUAUGCAGGUCAGUGCCCUCACUGCAGGAAAAAGCUGGAAAAGACUGGUAAAUACAGGUGGGAUGGCCCAGAGUAAAGACAUGCCUGCCAAAGUCUCCAAGGCUGAUUUUAGCCUUCUGCCUGGCAAUGCUAGGGCAGGAGAGGGGCAAAAAAAAAAAAGAAAAAAAAGAACUGUUAGCCUUUCAGAUGGUGUGGCUUUGGUGGCCCUGUGGUGAGCUAUGGCUUCUCCUUUGAAAAAGGUGUCGAGGCAGAGAAAACCAGCAGUGCUUUGUGAAGACCUGGAGGAGAGAUGAUCUGGGUCAUAACUGGAGUUCUCGCACUGCAUCCCAUGGAUGUGAAGGGUCACUGCUGCCGAGUUGCUAGGCUGUAGGAGAAGCAAAUGCCAGCACCAGCACAUGUGGUUCAGUGACUGCAGAGCAAGCUGCGGGUUGUGGUGGCAGGAAAGCCAGGAAAGCCUGGAACUCCUUGAAGAGCUCAUGAAAACAUGUUCCCUCUGAGUUACCUGUGUUCAUAGACAGGCACCAUGAACCACAUUUGGGUGCUGCCAGUUGCCUGCUAGAGCCUUCCAACCUCUGUUUAUUAUGCGUUUUGAAAUCUGUGCAUGUCCCCCACCUGUAGCUCAUUUCCUGCAGGCACCAAGGAGAUGCAAGCUCAGAUAGGGCUGUGGACGCAGGUGGGGUUAAGCAGAAGACAUAGGCAACAGUGGCAUGGGGUAAGCAGGCAGGUGCUGGCAGAGCAGAGGAAGUGAGGGUGAUGUAAAACAGCAAGAUGAAAGAUACAGCUGAGACGGAAAUGAGAGCGCAGCAUCUUCUCCUCAGUGACAGUCAUGGGGCUUCUUAUGGUCUACCCCAGCCAGGCUGCAGGCAGAGAGCAUCCCUGUGAUUCCCUAUCAGCUCUGGGGAUGGGUGGAUUCACAGAUGUGCUCUAGGGGAGCACUGCUGGCAAAUGCUUGUCCAAAUUUAUCCAGAGGAGACACCAACCCUCCCCAGGGACAUGCCUCUGGUGCUGCUGGAGCUGAUAGGAGGUGUUAGUAACGCCCAGUCACUUCUCUGUGGCGACCUCAGUGUUUCUAUUCUCAGCCCUUCUUACCCUGACCUUACAGUACAACUGAUUACCAUCCAUUUUAUAAUUAAACUUAGCCUGAUGCUGAACUGUUUUCUCGUCAUCUUCUUUCUAGACUAAACAAAGCCCAUUUCUUUAGCAUUUCCUAAUAAGCUAUGGUUACUAGACCUCAUCACUCGUACUUGGAUUGGACUUCCUCCAGCUUGUCAACAUCCUUCUUACUCUGGUGGGCAGUAUGUUCCAGUCCCAGUGCCAGGCUGAGGAGAACAUACCCAUGUCUCCCACCAUCAAGGCUCCUGCAAACAUACUGCUAUCUGGCAUGCAUUUUUCUGCCAAAUUCUCUUCCCCCUGAUGCAUGCUAAACAAAGCAUAAGCCUUUUCUCAGCUCUGCUUUCUGCUUGAUUUUGCCCUGUUUUACACCUGAGUGACUGACGUUUUCUCAGCUUCUCUGGAGAAUUCCUAUCCUGUUUCUUUUGGGCAGAUCAGAGCAUCCCAUGCAUUGUACAUGGGUUACUGUCCCUGCCACCAGCAGAGCUGCUAAUGACAAUAUUGAUUGCAGCUGGUCUGCAGGCAGACAUCCUGCUUGUUGCUCCAGCAGCGUCUGCUCAAUUCAUCUAGACCAGGUUUCUCAGCAGCAAAACCUUGCUUAGGAGAGAACACCAGGGUGUAGUUCCUGUCCCACAGCAGGAACUUCUGCUCUGCCCCUCCCAGCCCAUAUUAUCUGUACCUACGCCUAGCAGGGGUGGUUUCAGGCAGGAAACCUCCAAAUGACAGUGAGACAGCUGGGGAGAAGUGCUGAGCACUGAGUGAGUGGGAGCUCUUCUGCAAAUAUGAGGGGAGGGCUGGGGUCAUACUCACGGGCUUCUAUCAUCAGCUUGAGUGUUUUUCUUCCUAGCCAUCUGCUGCGUGUGCCCUCCAGCUCCUGAACAUCAGCACCUAAAUCCUGGCACACAUCAUGGCACAGGUGAUGGAGGCCAUUGAUGCCCAUUCCUGGAUGCUUGGGGCUAUAUCAGAGCAAUUCAGACCUGCCAGCCCAGACUUAGCUCAAAAGCAUGAGCACCAAUCCCAGCCCACACAGAGGUCAAAGCUCCAGGCUCAGCCUUAAGCUAAAAUUAUUUAUUCUGGAUUAUUUAUCUUUUUCUCUCACUGUCCUUCCUCCACAGUCCAGCUACACUGAGAGUUUGCAAGGUGUGCUCCCAGCUAACGAGGCUGCUUCUGUCUGAGAUGCCCUAAACCACCUCUGUCCUCAUCCUGCAGCAGGGGCAGGUCCCACAGACUCCUGGCACAACUGGUUUCCCUGCUGACCCCGGGUCUCCAGAUUAUUGCGAGUUGAGCUCAUGCCGACAGCUCCCAGACAAGCGGCUUUCUCAGGAAGCGCCAUCCUGGAAAAUGCAGCCCCAGAGAAAAUAAACUCCCCCGAGCCACAGAGAAUGACCCGAGCCUGCAAUUUCUCCCUUGCUGUCUGGAAACGACUGGGGUUUUGUUUUCCAAGGGAUUAAAACACAGGGUAGGGAUGUUAUUUUAGGGAACGACUGAGCCCCAUCAAACCUCGUCCUGUUUGUGCAGAUGCAGAGCUGGGCUGGGCUCCAGGCCACCGUCCUCCCCCCGCAGGGAUGGCUCUGGGCUUUGGAAAAAUGACGCACAGAGGCACAGAGGGGGCUGCUUUGCAGGUGGUGCUGAGCUAUUCCAGCCACUGAGCACAAAUGUGAUUGCAAACAAAUGAAAUCCUCCCCCUGAAAAGCUCGUUUAUACCUGGAAUUAAUGCUGGGGAUCAUUGUGUGCAGGGGGUCAUUUGUGGCUGUGGAUUUUGGCCAAAGUGAUGGAGUUUAUGAUGAAGGGAUGCUCUACAGAGUAUUGGACAUAAUGUUCAUGGGGAUGGAGUUGGACUGAGGUCCCAACUGUGUCUCUGAUCAGUGAGACCCUUCUGCUGGCAGCCCAUGCUCUACCCUCCCCACCUGUGUUCCACGGUCCUGCAUUCAUCUAUAUUUUUUACAAAAUCCCAGGGGGCUGAGGCUGGGCACAACAGGUGGGCUGUCAAGCAGGGAAGAAACCCAAACCCGGAGUUUCUAGAAGUGUGCUGUGAUUAAUUUAUAGUGACUCAGCCUUUUGAGCAAUGGUUUCAGAUGUAAAUAAUUGCCUGCUGCAGGUACACUGGCUGGAUGAGGAAAGUUUACUGCUUGGCACAGCCAUUCAACAACCACAUGCAUGAAGCACCAUGCACUUUGUCUUGUUCAGCUGCUGACAAAGGCAUCAAUUGGGUCAUUAACUUGAAUUUCCCAAUCAGUUUGGCUACUAAAAGGACCAACUAUUAUCUUUACAUAGGGAAUGCCCCAUAAACUCUGUCACCUUGGGGCUGUGCUCACUGCCCUGGGAACCCUUUCCCAUCUUUGUGGCCACCCAUUGGAUGCUCUCUGACAGAUUGAUGACCCUAUAUUGUGGUACACAAACUAUUCACAGUGCUUGAGGUGAGGCCACCGAGUGGGACAAUGAAAUAAAGUGGGAUUUCCUCUCACAUUUCCUCUCAGCACACAGCCACUACCAACUCCAUCAAUACAGAGGAGUAGAUUGAUCACUCAGCUGACUCCCAGACCUUUUCUGUCCAGCCGGGUAGUUCAGUCAAUGCUGAACUAAUUGCUAAAGAAGCCCAAAGCACAGUUUCUUAUGGGUUUUGCACACACAUCACAAGUGUAUCUUAAGCCUACUGCUUAGGUGUCUCCUGGGAAUCCUGGUGGAGUCCAUGGAGAGACAUCUGCACCUCUAAUGCUGUGAAUGCCCUUGUGUUAGAUGCCUAGGUGCCACUUCCAGAUAGGCAUCUCAUCCUCCACCACUUCUGCUGGACUAGCAAAGGACAGCCAGCUCAGACUGACAUCCAGCUUGAAGGUGCUGAAGGUGCAGAUCAAUGUGCCUGAUUGCACAGGCUAUCAGCUUCAGGCAAGUAAAAAUCUGUGUUGGUAAUGGCUCCAUGUUGAAGGUGCAACCUCAGCUGUAAUGGCCUUGCUAGUGAGUAUCACCUCACAUUAAUAGCUCCCUCUGUGCUGGAGUACUGAUGUGUGGAGAAUGGGUUGAACUCCUGAGGGACACAGUCAGCUGCCCAUCUCCAAGGAAGCAGUCCAUGCUCUGGCACUGUGGGACCUGCAUGUGUUAAACUGCAGAUGUUCUUAGCCCCCUCCAACAGUUUUUCAUCUAAGACGUUGCUAAAUAUCUGAGAGUACACAGAGCUGUUGAUCUUAUCACUGGUGGACAUAUGUCUGCUCAGCAGGUCACAGUGACCACUGCUAGCUGGGGGAUGUCUAAGUGCAGGUGCACGUGGGGAAGCCUUCUUUGCCCUGGGAGUCGUGUGAGCAUCUCUUCCCUAGUGAGCCUGCAGUCUCCUCUUGGCAGCCUCUGUCAAAAAUUCUCCUUGAUUGUGCUGAAAUUCUUCCUCCUGCCUGGUUGUUGCAUGCCAUGGCUACCACUCUCCUGUCCAUCCACUUGGCACUGGGGGUGGGAAAUUCUGAUGAAGAAUUUCAGCUUAAAUGGCUUCUUACUGAAACAGAAUCUGGGGAGAACUAAUUGAUUUCAGUGUGAUUUUUAAUGAUUAACUACAGAAGGAAAAUCAGAAUUUCUGGAAUAAAAAAAGUGGGUAGGUUUGAAGAUGAGAAGGGAAAGGAUGGG